UACAGAGGGUGCGAGCGUUAAUCGGAAUUACUGGGCGUAAAGGGCUCGUAGGCGGCCAACUAAGUCCGACGUGAAAUCCCAAAGCUUAACUUUGGAACUGCGUCGGAUACUGGAUGGCUUGAAUUCGGGAGAGGGAUGCAGAAUUCCAGGUGUAGCGGUGAAAUGCGUAGAUAUCUGGAGGAAUACCGGUGGCGAAGGCGGCAUCCUGGACCGACAUUGACGCUGAGGAGCGAAAGCUAGGGGAGCAAACAGG
rnacentral:rRNA from 1 species